CACGUAGGGUGCGAGCGUUUGUCCGGAAUUAUUGGGCGUAAAGAGCUCGUAGGCGGUGUGUCGCGUCGGCCGUGAAAACCUGCAGCUUAACUGUGGGCUUGCGGUCGAUACGGGCAUCACUGGAGUUCGGCAGGGGAGACUGGAAUUCCUGGUGUAGCGGUGAAAUGCGCAGAUAUCAGGGAGGAACACCGGUGGCGGAAGGCGGGGUCUCUGGGCCGAGU
rnacentral:rRNA from 1 species